CUCUUGAAAAGUCCACCACAUCACAUGCUAUAAAGCCGCUUUCUUCUUCCUCCUUGUUAUAUUUUGAAGCCACCAUAAUUUUCUAAGGAAACCUAUAUUGCCUUUCUCCUCUACAUUCAGAAAAGAAAAAUCCAGUUCAAAGAAAAAUGGCAUCAUUUAAUGAGGCACCACCAGGAAACGAAAAAGCAGGAGAGAAGAUCUUCAAGACUAAAUGUGCUCAAUGCCAUACUGUCGACAAAGGUGCCGGUCACAAACAAGACUUGCAAGUUCGAGAGAUAGAAGUUGGACGAUUGGAUAUACUUCAAGGUACAGGUAGACAGACAGGUGGUCCAGCUUAGUAGGACUUUUAUCCAGCAGCGAUCAGUGCACUCCAUUUGAUCCGGAGUUGCAGUCUAUUUAUGGUAUGCUAGCUCUUUUGAGAUGUAUAUGCACAUGGGUAUGACGGGGCCCUGUCCCGUCCUUUCUGCAGCUUUUAUUUCAGUAGAGGUCUGUAGACAGUUGUAUGUAUUAGUCAGAUGAUGUAGCCUUGUCAGCUUCUAUUCUUUUGUGUACAAUAUAUAUAGCAGCCUAGCUGGCUUGCACUGAUUUUUCAGCAUGUUUAUGUAUAUACAAAUUGUUCAGUGUU